rnacentral:rRNA from 1 species
ACCCUCGAGAGGGGAAUAACUUGCCGAAAGGUGAGCUAAUACUCCGUACGCUUCCGGCUUUGCGAAGCCGGAAGGAAAGCUGUGCCGUUGGGUACGGCGCUCAAGGAUGGGCUCACGUCCUAUCAGCUUGUUGGUAGGGUAACGGCCUACCAAGGCAACGACGGGU